rnacentral:rRNA from 2 species
CGGGUGAGUAACACGUAAGCAACCUGCCCUUAAGACGAGGAUAACAAUUGGAAACAGUUGCUAAGACUGGAUAGGAAAAGUAAAGGCAUCUUUACUUUUUUAAAAGACCUUCUUUGGAGGUAUGCUUAAGGAGGGGCUUGCGACACAUUAGUUAGUUGGCAGGGUAAAGGCCUACCAAGACUAUGAUGUGUAGCUGGACUGAGAGGUUGAACAGCCACAUUGGGACUGAGACACGGCCCAAACUCCUACGGGAGGCAGCAGUAGGGAAUUUUCGGCAAUGGAGGAAACUCUGACCGAGCAACGCCGCGUGAACGAUGAAGUACCUCGGUAUGUAAAGUUCUUUUAUUAAGGAAGAAAAAAGAGUGGAAAAACUCCCUUGACGGUACUUAAUGAAUAAGCCCCGGCUAAUUAUGUGCCAGCAGCCGCGGUAAUACAUAAGGGGCGAGCGUUAUCCGGAAUUAUUGGGCGUAAAGGGUGCGUAGGCGGUUUAAUAAGUCUAUAGUUUAAUUUCAGUGCUUAACGCUGUUGUGCUAUAGAAACUGUUUUACUAGAGUGAGAUAGAGGCAAGCGGAAUUCCAUGUGUAGCGGUAAAAUGCGUAAAUAUAUGGAGGAACACCAGAGGCGUAGGCGGCUUGCUGGGUCUUUACUGACGCUGAGGCACGAAAGCGUGGGGAGCAAACAGGAUUAGAUACCCUGGUAGUCCACGCCGUAAACGAUGAGUACUAAGUGUCGGGCAAAACCGGUACUGAAGUUAACACAUUAAGUACUCCGCCUGAGUAGUACGUACGCAAGUAUGAAACUUAAAGGAAUUGACGGGACUCCGCACAAGCGGUGGAUCAUGUUGUUUAAUUCGAAGAUACACGAAAAACCUUACCAGGUCUUGACAUUUUCUUGCGAAGUUAUAGAAAUAUAAUGGAGGUUAUCAGGAAAACAGGUGGUGCAUGGUUGUCGUCAGCUCGUGUCGUGAGAUGUUAGGUUAAGUCCUAAAACGAGCGCAACCCUUGUCGUUAAUUGCCAGCAUGUAAUGAUGGGGACUUUAACGAGACUGCCAAUGAAAAAUUGGAGGAAGGUGGGGAUUACGUCAAAUCAUCAUGCCCCUUAUGAUCUGGGCUACAAACGUGAUACAAUGGUUGAUACAAAGAGUAGCUGAAACGCGAGUUCUUAGCCAAUCUCACAAAAUCAAUCUCAGUUCGGAUUGAAGUCUGCAACUCGACUUCAUGAAGUUGGAAUCGCUAGUAAUCGCGAAUCAGCAUGUCGCGGUGAAUACGUUCUCGGGGUUUGUACACACCGCCCGUCAAACCACGAAAGUUGGCAAUACCCCAAAGCGGUCGCCUAACUUCGUAAGAAGAAGGAUCCGUCUAAGGUAGGGUCGAUAAUUGGGGUUAAGUCGUAACAAGGUAUCCCUACCGGAAGGUGGGGAUGGAUCACCUCCUUUCUA